GUUGCCGCAGGCAACGACCCGAAGGGCGAAACGCGCAGCGCUGAGUCAUCCUUCCCCCACCACCA
rnacentral:sRNA from 1 species